ensembl:snRNA U6 U6 spliceosomal RNA
GUGUUCGCUUUCAUAGCACAUAUAGUAAAAUUGUAAAGAUACAGAAAUUAGCUUGGCCCCUUCGCAAAUUCAUGAAGCAUUCCGCAUUUUC